GAUGAAGAACGCAGCGAAAUGCGAUAAGUAAUGUGAAUUGCAGAAUUCAGUGAAUCAUCGAAUCUUUGAACGCACAUUGCGCCCCUUGGUAUUCCGAGGGGCAUGCCUGUUCGAGCGUCAUUAUAACCCUCAAGCUCAGCUUGGUGUUGGGGCCUGCUGCACUGGCAGCCCUUAAAAUCAGUGGCGGCGCCAUCUGGCUCUAAGCGUAGUAAUUCUUCUCGCUAUGGAGUCCUGGUGGAUGCUUGCCAUCAACCCCCAAUUUUUCUAUGGUUGACCUCGGAUCAGGUAGGGAUACCCGCUGAACUUAAGCAUAUCAAUAAGCGGAUGA
rnacentral:misc_RNA from 1 species